CGUUAUUAUAUGUACAUACAUAUGUACAGCACAUAUAGUAAUUGAAGCGACAGAUGUUAAGAUUGAAUGAACACGUGUUCAUUAUGAAUACGCUAUUCCACGUAUGCAUGUAAGAAUUUACAGUUUUCUGACGUAAUGUUGAUAACAUUUAACAAAUAAUAUGAUAAUAAAAUAAAAAGUAUAUUAAUUUAAUUCAGUGUCUGAGUCCGUUCGAACUAGUUGGCAAACGACGGAAGUUGUUUAUGAUAGGAUGAUAAGAAGCCGAACGUAUCUUUAAAUGACAGAUUUAAUCAGUAUUCGAUAGCUCAUAGAUGACUCGCAAUAUUUGAUUGCAAUAGUAUGUGUACAUGUACAAUGUUGCCAUUUUCAAUGUUCUCACGAGCGUGGGUUCCGAAUUAGGUGGAUAACCCUGCAAUUCCAAUUUAAAAUAUUAUGUCGCUCCACUUUAAGGAAUAUGGGUGUCUAUGCCGAUCAUUUUUUAUCCGAAAUGUUCAAAGCAAAUCCUACAAAAAAUACGAAUAGAAGGAAAAGGUUAAAGAAGAAUACCGUGCCGGAACCAUCAAAAUAUUUCUUUACUAAAUAAAGAAGAAAAAGAAGAUGUAUAAGAAAGACAGCUUGUAAUCGAAAAACAGCUGAUGAAAAAAGAAGGGCAAGACGAAGAAGGGCAUCAACAUCACCACUAUCAACAACAGCAGAGGUAAAUAUUAGUGAUUUGGAAAAAAUACAAUGUUCCAGUUUUAUUUCUAUUAAAUGCAUAAUAGUAUAUAUUCGCACGAGAAGAGGAAGACGAAUCAAGAAGAAGAGGAUGAAUACCGACAUCUUCCCCUGAGAAGAGGACGCUUCGUUGCAGAAGGCGAGAAUGCCGUUUCCCGUUGACUCUUUUAUGCAUAAGAUAAGGCAAUCAAUCACUGUGAAGUCAGCCUACAAAACAAUCGUGUUCCGAAUUCCACAGUUUCUGAAGAAUCAAUUCCUUCAACUAUUCUGAAAGAGAGCUUUUCGUUAAAGCUAAAGAAGAUCCGCGCUCGAGAAGACAUAAAAAAGAAGAGCGCAUGCAUGUAUCAAGAGUCAAGAGGAAGGGCAAAGAUCAAUUUAGAUUUUCUCAACGGCAGAAAUUUAUUUAUUUUCUUUAUUUUUUGUUAGUAAACUAUUAUAUUCUAACAGUUUGUAUUAUUUCUAACUCUGCUUUAUGUGUCAUCGUUCAAAAAUAUAGUAAACAAUUAAUUUCUUUUUCUCAA